rnacentral:rRNA from 1 species
GACGAACGCUGGCGGCGUGCCUAAUACAUGCAAGUAGAACGCUGAAGGAGGAGCUUGCUUCUCCGGAUGAGUUGCGAACGGGUGAGUAACGCGUAGGUAACCUGCCUGGUAGCGGGGGAUAACUAUUGGAAACGAUAGCUAAUACCGCAUAACAGUAGAUGUUGCAUGACAUUUGCUUAAAAGGUGCAAUUGCCUCACUACCAGAUGGACCUGCGUUGUAUUAGCUAGUUGGUGAGGUAACGGCUCACCAAGGCGACGAUACAUAGCCGACCUGAGAGGGGGAUCGGCCACACUGGGACUGAGACACGGCCCAGACUCCUACGGGAGGCAGCAGUAGGGAAUCUUCGGCAAUGGACGGAAGUCUGACCGAGCAACGCCGCGUGAGUGAAGAAGGUUUUCGGAUCGUAAAGCUCUGUUGUAAGAGAAGAACGAGUGUGAGAGUGGAAAGUUCACACUGUGACGGUAUCUUACCAGAAAGGGACGGCUAACUACGUG